AUCACCUGGGGACCUUGUUCAAACGCAGAUUCUGACUCAGAAGUUCUCAGGGGAGGCCCAAGAUUCUGCAUUUCUAACAAGCUCUCAGGUGAUGCUGA
rnacentral:pre_miRNA from 1 species